rnacentral:lncRNA from 1 species
CCCAGUGCUGACCAGCAGGGGGCACACGGCAGAAAAGAGGAAGCCACAGCAGCCCCAGUGCUGACCAGCAGGGGGCACACGGCGGAGGCGCGGAAGCCACAGCAGCCCCAGUGCUGACCAGCAGGGGGCACACGGCAGAGAAGAGGAAGCCACAGCAGCCCCAGUGCUGACCAGCAGGGGGCACACGGCAGAGGCGUGGAAGCCACAGCAGCCCCAGUGCUGACCAGCAGGGGGCACACGGCGGAGGCGCGGAAGCCACAGCAGCCCCAGUGCUGACCAGCAGGGGGCACAGGGCAGAGACGUGGAAGCCACAGCAGCCCCAGUGCUGACCAGCAGGGGGCACACGUGGAGAAGAGGAAGCCGCAGCAGAGCCAGUGCUGACCAGCAGGCGGCCCACGGCAGAGAAGAGGAAAGGGCAGCACCCCAGUGCUGAGCAGCAGGGGGCACAGGGUGGAGACGCGGAAGCCGCAGCAGCCCCAGUGCUGACCAGCAGGGGGCCGACCGCGGAGGCGUGGAAGCCGCAGCAGCCCCAGUGCUGACCAGCAGGGGGCACAUGGCGGCGGCGUGGAAGCCUCAGCAGCCCCAGUGCUGACCAGCAGGGGGCCCACCGCGGAGGCGUGGAAGCCGUAGCAGCCCCAGUGCUGACCAGCAGGGGGCCCACUGUGGAGGCGUGGAAGCCUCAGCAGCCCCAGUGCUGACCAGCAGAGGGCACAUGGCGGAGACGUGGAAGCCUCAGCAGCCCCAGUGCUGACCAGCAGGGGGCACACGGCAGAGAAGAGGAAGCCACAGCAGCCCCAGUGCUGACCAGCAGGGGGCACACGGCAGAGANNNNNNNNNNNNNNNNNNNNNNNNNNNNNNNNNNNNNNNNNNNNNNNNNNGGGCGGCACGAGGCCCAUGACAGCUCAUGCACUGCUGGAGUCUGGGAAGUGCCCUUGAUGCUGGGACGGAAUGGGGAGCAAGACAGGUUCUGUCCUCGGAGGCCGCCGUCCUGGGACACGCCAGCAGGUCAGGGCAAGUGCAUGAAGGCCGUGGGCUUCGGACUUUAUCGGCGACAACCGGGACCGCUGGAGGAUAUUCGGUAGCAAUUCAGUUCUUCUAUAGCUGUUGCUGUUGAAUUUGUUCAUCACGUCCUGACACAGUCCCACCAUUGUCAGAGUCAAGAACAGGCCCUCACCCAAGACCACACACCUUCUCCUCCAAAUUCAGGAUUGGAACAAUGAAAUAAAGGAAAUCUUCAAAAGCCAAACCAUUAUGGAAG